AUGCAAAGGUGAGGGAAUUUUUGCAAUAACUCCUUAAACUGCUCCCAUGCCUCAUAUAAAGAUUCUUCAUCACGUUGCUGAAAUGAAGUAAUCUCAUUGCAGAGCUU